rnacentral:rRNA from 1 species
CACACCGCCCGUCACACCAUGGGAGUGGGUUUCACCAGAACGCCGGUCGCUUAACCGCAAGGAUGGCGCCGACCACGGCGAGAUUCAUGACUGGGGUG